GGGCCCGCACAAGCAGCGGAGCAUGUGGUUUAAUUCGAAGCAACGCGAAGAACCUUACCAGGUCUUGACAUCCAAUUAAGCCUGUAGAGAUACAGAGUCCCUUCGGGGGAAUUGAGACAGGUGGUGCAUGGUUGUCGUCAGCUCGUGUCGUGAGAUGUUGGGUUAAGUCCCGCAACGAGCGCAACCCUUGCUGAUAAUUACUAACGCGUAAUGGCGAGGACUUUAUUGGGACUGCCGGGGACAACUCGGAGGAAGGUGGGGACGACGUCAAAUCAUCAUGCCCCUUAUGACCUGGGCUACACACGUGCUACAAUGGCCGAGACAGAGAGAAGCGAGGGCGCAAGCCGGAGCGGAUCUGAGAAAAGCGGUCACAGUUCAGAUUGUGGGCUGCAACCCGCCCACAUGAAGCAGGAGUUGCUAGUAAUCGCGGAUCAGCAUGCCGCGGUGAAUACGUUCCCGGGCCUU
rnacentral:rRNA from 1 species